AGGGUUUGAUUAUGGCUCAGAUUGAACGCUGGCGGCAUGCCUUACACAUGCAAGUCGAACGGCAGCACGGGGGCAACCCUGGUGGCGAGUGGCGAACGGGUGAGUAAUACAUCGGAACGUGUCCUGUAGUGGGGGAUAGCCCGGCGAAAGCCGGAUUAAUACCGCAUACGCUCUGCGGAGGAAAGCGGGGGCUCCUUCGGGACCUCGCGCUACAGGGGCGGCCGAUGGCAGAUUAGCUAGUUGGUGGGGUAAAGGCCUACCAAGGCGACGAUCUGUAGCUGGUCUGAGAGAACGACCAGCCACACUGGGACUGAGACACGGCCCAGACUCCUACGGGAGGCAGCAGUGGGGAAUUUUGGACAAUGGGCGCAAGCCUGAUCCAGCAAUGCCGCGUGUGUGAAGAAGGCCUUCGGGUUGUAAAGCACUUUUGUCCGGAAAGAAAACCUCAGCCCUAAUACGGCGGGGGGAUGACGGUACCGGAAGAAUAAGCACCGGCUAACUACGUGCCAGCAGCCGCGGUAAUACGUAAGGUGCAAGCGUUAAUCGGAAUUACUGGGCGUAAAGCGUGCGCAGGCGGUCCGCUAAGACAGAUGUGAAAUCCCCGGGCUUAACCUGGGAACUGCAUUUGUGACUGGCGGGCUAGAGUAUGGCAGAGGGGGGUAGAAUUCCACGUGUAGCAGUGAAAUGCGUAGAGAUGUGGAGGAAUACCGAUGGCGAAGGCAGCCCCCUGGGCCAAUACUGACGCUCAUGCACGAAAGCGUGGGGAGCAAACAGGAUUAGAUACCCUGGUAGUCCACGCCCUAAACGAUGUCAACUAGUUGUCGGGCCUUCAUUGGCUUGGUAACGUAGCUAACGCGUGAAGUUGACCGCCUGGGGAGUACGGUCGCAAGAUUAAAACUCAAAGGAAUUGACGGGGACCCGCACAAGCGGUGGAUGAUGUGGAUUAAUUCGA
rnacentral:rRNA from 1 species